GGUCAAGCUACAAAGAGCUAACGGUGGAUACCUUGGCACACAGAGGCGAAGAAGGACGUAGUUACCGACGAAACGCUUCGGGGAGCUGGAAACAAGCAGAGAGCCGAAGAUAU
rnacentral:rRNA from 1 species